CAGCGUCACAAGUGGCAUCCGCUAUUAUUGGGUCUAAAGCGUCCGUAGCCGGUUUGAUAAAUCUCUUGUGAAAUCGUUUGGCUCAACCAAACGGCAAGCAGGAGACACUAUCAAACUUGAGACCGGGAAGGGUUAGAGGUAUGUUUGGGGGAGCGGUAAAAUGCUAUAAUCCCUUACAGACCAAUGGUGGCGAAGGCGUCUAACUAGAACGGAUCUGACGGUGAGGGACGAAAGCCAGGGGAGCAAACCGGAUUAGAUACCCGUGUAGUCC
rnacentral:rRNA from 1 species